GCGGCAAAAGUGGUAAAUUCUGGAGCACUUCUAUCAUCUUUCUCAAACUCGAUUUAUCGAACCAUCUGCUGCUUCUCUUCCUUCCUCAGCUUAUCUUUUCGUCAUUCUACAAAUUCAAAAAGAUCCUACUCAUCUCUGUCAUUUUAGGGUGAAAUUCUCAGUUUCAUAUUGUUUGCCGAAUUUAUACUUCAUCUCUGUCUUUGCCACAGCGCAAUCCGUGCCACCUUGGCAUUGUGAAACGUCCAAUGUUAAACAUGGACAUGCUGUUGAUCCAGUUCUCAAGGCCAUUUCUGCGUCCUUGAUGUCCCUGGAGUUAGGAAUUCAAAGUUUUUGAGGAGAUGAUGAACUGUGGUAUGGAGGUUCCAAAGUAGACCAUUCGCCUUGGCAGGUCCCAUAACCAUUCCCUUGGAACAUCAAUCGGGUUCAGACUGGAAUCAUGGUCG